rnacentral:rRNA from 1 species
AACGAACGCUGGCGGCAGGCUUAACACAUGCAAGUCGAACGCCCCGCAAGGGUAGUGGCAGACGGGUGAGUAACGCGUGGGAAUCUACCCAGAUCUUCGGAACAACUGAGGGAAACUUCAGCUAAUACCGGAUACGCCCUACGGGGGAAAGAUUUAUCGGUUCUGGAUGAGCCCGCGUUGGAUUAGCUAGUUGGUGAGGUAAAGGCUCACCAAGGCGACGAUCCAUAGCUGGUCUGAGAGGAUGAUCAGCCACACUGGGACUGAGACACGGCCCAGACUCCUACGUGAGGCAGCAGUGGGGAAUAUUAGACAAUGGGCGAAAGCCUGAUCCAGCCAUGCCGCGUGAGUGAUGAAGGCCUUAGGGUUGUAAAGCUCUUUCAGUAGGGAAGAUAAUGACGGUACCUACAGAAGAAGCCCCGGCUAACUUCGUGCCAGCCGCCGCGGUAACAC